GUGCUGAUUUUGGCAACACUUAUACUAAAAUUGGAAUGAUACAGAGAAGAUUAGCAUGGCCCUGGGCAAGAAUGACACAUAAAUUCAUCAAGUGUUCUAUAUUUUU
rnacentral:snRNA from 1 species